AAGAAAGAGUUGAUGAUGCCAUUCUUAUGGAAGUUAUUCCAUGUAAGAUUCUUCAUGGAUCAUUUGUGUCUCUGUAUCAGUUGUAAUUUAAGCUUUUGUUUCAUUUAUUCAUUUUGAUGGAGAGAGUGAUAAGGAUGUGUCUAAACUUGUGUCUGAUUUUGAGGCAUACUUGUCCUAGUCUGGUUUAUUAAAGGUUAUAGCUGUAGAGCAUAACAAUGAUACUUAAAUACCAUCUUCUAUGCAUUCAUGGUAAUGAGUGAGUCUUCUUUGUGAGAAUGAGAUUGCCCAGAGUUGUGCUGCAUGUUCAGCGAGCAAUGUGAGCUAUUGGAUGCACAAUGGUUUUGUUACCGUCAACAAUGGAAAAAUGUCACUAGGGAAUUUUCUCACAAUUCGUGAGGUAAGUAACAAAAUGUAUGUGUUUGGGAAACGUUCUCAUUUCAUAAUUUGAGUUUCUUUUGAGUAGAACAUCUUUGGAAUCUUUUCUGCAUUCUUUCUUGCUAGAAUUGUUUCGGCCAUAACCAAUUAAUUGUACUGUAGGUCUUCAAGCUGUACCAUCCAUUGACCUUGAGAGAUUUCUUGAUCAGCACAACCUACCAACCAGUAGAUUAAGGUCUAUUUCGUUGACGUUCAUGUGGCCAAGCUGACAAACAGCAUUCUUAUCAAUGAAUUGUUUGAUGCACCAUUAAAUUCUUGAUAGAAAACACAUAAAAGGGAUAUUCAGAACCUUUUCUUGAAAUCCCUUAUAGAACCUUCCAGUCUAACCAUUUCCAUCAUUUUACUUGGAGCCUCAACUACCACCACAAGGAAGAAAGGAUACGAAGGAUCCCCUUGCUUAGACCCUGGAACGCCCAAAGUAUCCUUUUGAUGAAGGACCUUUAUGAAAUUACGUCUAAAAACUUCAAACUUUCUUGAAUUUAUGGGCUUUUCAUUUCCUUUUUUAAUCUACUUCUUAAAUCUACUUAUGGCAAUCAGCAACCCGACUUUCCACAACUUCAUCAAACCAUGGGGCUUCUUGAAAGGAGGAUUCUGACCUUUUGGAAGUCCCAAACUCACCCGCUGAAUCUGCUCCAUCCAUCAUACAUACAUACAAGCAUGCACUUUUUAAAACAUGCAUCUUGCUGAACAUGUCAUGAUAUAUCCUUACUGUUGUAAUUGCAGAUUUGUAAACUGUAUUAAUAGCGUUAAUCGCCAUUUUCAUUCUGUGGACUCUUAGCUUAAAAACUUCAGUCAUGGCUACUGCUUUGUGUUAAAGCAAUUGAAUUAUUACAGAAUGAGUAAGCUAAUAGCAUUAAUUGCCAUUUUCAUUCUAUGGACUCUCAGCUUAAAAACUUCAGUGGUGGCUACUGCUUUGCGUUAAAGCUAUUGAAUUAUUACAGAAUGAGUUGAAGUUGACUGGGGGCUUUUUUCAUUUUUGUUCUGGUGUUAUUCAUAUAAUGGACGCUCCUUGUAGGAACUAUUGGUUACCACGCAGCAUGACUAAUUGUGGAAUUUGAAUGAAGUUCAUAUUUCAUUAGCCUUGAUGCCAAAAACUAAAAAGGAAAAAAAUCUGUUGUCUGUCAGGAUGUACAAUGAGGCGAUCUCAUAUUAUGAGAAGGCACUUGCCCUUUCGACCAGAAGUUUGAGCACCUAUGCAGGUCUGGCGUACACUCAUCAUUUGCAGGAUAAUUUCAAUUCUGCAAUUAGAUAUUACCAUAACGUACACUUACAAGUUGGGGCAUAGGUUAUUCAAUGGUUCGUACAUUUGGAGU